rnacentral:rRNA from 1 species
GACGAACGCUGGCGGCACGCUUAACACAUGCAAGUCGAACGAGACCUUCGGGUCUAGUGGCGCACGGGUGAGUAACGCGUGGGAACCUACCUUUUGGUACGGGACAACAGUUGGAAACGACUGCUAAUACCGUAUGUGCCCUUCGGGGGAAAGAUUUAUCGCCAAAGGAUGGGCCCGCGUUGGAUUAGCUAGUUGGUGAGGUAAAGGCUUACCAAGGCUACGAUCUAUAGCUGGUCUGAGAGGAUGAUCAGCCACACUGGGACUGAGACACGGCCCAG